GGUUAAGUUAACAAGGGCGCAUGGUGAAUGCCUUGGCACUAGGAGCCGAUGAAGGACGGGACUAACACCGAUAUGCUUCGGGGAGCUGUACGUAAGCUAUGAUCCGGAGAUUUCCGAAUGGGGCAACCCAGCAGUUUUAAUCAACUGUUACCACUAGAUGAAUUCAUAGUCUAGUUGGAGGUAAACGCUGUGAACUGAAACAUCUCAUUAGCAGCAGGAAUAUAAAGAAAUUUCGAUUCCCUAAGUAGCGGCGAGCGAACGGGGAACAGCCCAAACCAAAGUGCUUGCACUUUGGGGUUGUAGGACUGAACAUUUGAGUUACCAAAGAACUUGAUAGUCGAAGGAUUUGGGAAAAUCCGCCAUAGAUGGUGAUAGCCCAGUAGAUUAAAUCAAAUUCUCUCAGUUCAGGAUCCUGAGUACGGCGGAACACGUGAAAUUCCGUCGGAAUCCGGGAGGACCAUCUCCCAAGGCUAAAUACUACCUAGUGACCGAUAGUGAACCAGUACCGUGAGGGAAAGGUGAAAAGCACCCCGGGAGGGGAGUGAAAUAGUUCCUGAAACCAUGUGCCUACAAUAAGUCAGAGCGCGUUAAUGCGUGAUGGCGUGCCUUUUGUAGAAUGAACCGGCGAGUUAUGAUCCCGUGCAAGGUUAAGACUAAAAAGUCGGAGCCGUAGCGAAAGCGAGUCUGAAAUGGGCGAUUUGAGUACGAGGUUAUAGACCCGAAACCAGGUGAUCUAUCCAUGUCCAGGUUGAAGGUGCGGUAAAACGCACUGGAGGACCGAACCCGUGUAAGUUGAAAAUUGCUGGGAUGAGGUGUGGAUAGCGGUGAAAUUCCAAACGAACUUGGAGAUAGCUGGUUCUCUCCGAAAUAGCUUUAGGGCUAGCCUCGGAUUAAGGAUCAUGGAGGUAGAGCACUAUUUGGACUAGGGGCCCGUCUUGGGUUACUGAAUUCAGAUAAACUCCGAAUGCCAUUGAUUCAUGUCCGGGAGUCAGACGAUGAGUGAUAAGAUCCACCGUCGAAAGGGGAACAGCCCAGACCAUCAGUUAAGGUCCCUAAAUGUAUGCUAAGUGGAAAAGGAUGUGGAGUUGCAUAGACAACUAGGAUGUUGGCUCAGAAGCAGCCACCAUUUAAAGAGUGCGUAAUAGCUCACUAGUCGAGUGAUCCUGCGCCGAAAAUGUACCGGGGCUAAGCAUACUACCGAAACCAUGGAUGCGACCAUUAGGUCGCGUGAUAGGAGAGCGUUCUAAGGGCGGUGAAGCAAGAUCGUGAGGACUUGUGGAGCGCUUAGAAGUGAGAAUGCCGGUAUGAGUAGCGAAAGAUAGGUGAGAAUCCUAUCCACCGAAUGACUAAGGUUUCCUGGGGAAGGCUCGUCCUCCCAGGGUUAGUCGGGACCUAAGUCGAGGCCGAGAGGCGUAGACGAUGGAUAACAGGUUGAGAUUCCUGUACUAGUUAAGUGCGUUUGAGCAAUGGAGGGACGCAGGAGGCUAAGAUGUGCAUUCUGUUGGAUUAGAAUGUCCAAGCAGUAAGUCUUGUGGAGAGUCAAAUGCUUUUCACUUUAAGGACAAGCUGUGAUGGGGAGCGAAAUUUAGUAGCGAAGCGUCUGAUGUCACACUGCCGAGAAAAGCUUCUAGUGAGUACUUAACUACCCGUACCGCAAACCGACACAGGUAGUCGAGGAGAGAAUCCUAAGGUGAGCGAGUGAACUCUCGUUAAGGAACUCGGCAAAAUGACCCCGUAACUUCGGGAGAAGGGGUGCUGAUCGCAAGAUCAGCCGCAGUGAAUAGGCCCAGGCGACUGUUUAUCAAAAACACAGGUCUCUGCAAAAUCGUAAGAUGACGUAUAGGGGCUGACGCCUGCCCGGUGCUGGAAGGUUAAAAGGAUGGGUUAGCUUCGGCGAAGCUCAGAAUUGAAGCCCCAGUAAACGGCGGCCGUAACUAUAACGGUCCUAAGGUAGCGAAAUUCCUUGUCGGGUAAGUUCCGACCCGCACGAAAGGCGUAACGAUCUGGGCACUGUCUCAACGAGAGACUCGGUGAAAUUAUAUUGUCCGUGAAGAUGCGGACUACCCGCGACAGGACGGAAAGACCCCAUGGAGCUUUACUGUAGCUUGAUAUUGAGUGUUUGUACAGCUUGUACAGGAUAGGUAGGAGCCAUAGAAACCGGAACGCUAGUUUCGGUGGAGGCGUUGGUGGGAUACUACCCUCGCUGUAUGACCACUCUAACCCGCACCACUAAUCGUGGUGGGAGACAGUGUCAGGUGGGCAGUUUGACUGGGGCGGUCGCCUCCUAAAAAGUAACGGAGGCGCCCAAAGGUUCCCUCAGAAUGGUUGGAAAUCAUUCGCAGAGUGUAAAGGCACAAGGGAGCUUGACUGCGAGACAGACAGGUCGAGCAGGGACGAAAGUCGGGCUUAGUGAUCCGGUGGUACCGUAUGGAAGGGCCAUCGCUCAACGGAUAAAAGCUACCCUGGGGAUAACAGGCUUAUCUCCCCCAAGAGUCCACAUCGACGGGGAGGUUUGGCACCUCGAUGUCGGCUCAUCGCAUCCUGGGGCUGUAGUCGGUCCCAAGGGUUGGGCUGUUCGCCCAUUAAAGCGGUACGCGAGCUGGGUUCAGAACGUCGUGAGACAGUUCGGUCCCUAUCCGUCGCGGGCGUAGGAAAUUUGAGAGGACCUGUCCUUAGUACGAGAGGACCGGGAUGGACAUACCUCUGGUGUACCAGUUGUGCCGCCAGGCGCAUUGCUGGGUAGCUACGUAUGGAUGUGAUAAACGCUGAAAGCAUCUAAGUGUGAAACACACCUCGAGAUGAGAUUUCCCAUUCCUUUAUGGAAGUAAGACCCCUGAAAGAUGAUCAGGUAGAUAGGUUAGAAGUGGCAGUGCGGUGACGCAUGAAGCGGACUAAUACUAAUCGGUCGAGGACUUAACCAA
rnacentral:rRNA from 1 species